rnacentral:rRNA from 1 species
AGCAUGAUCUAGCUUGCUAGAUUGAUGGCGAGUGGCGAACGGGUGAGUAAUACAUCGGAACGUGCCCUGUAGUGGGGGAUAACUAGUCGAAAGAUUAGCUAAUACCGCAUACGACCUGAGGGUGAAAGUGGGGGACCGCAAGGCCUCAUGCUAUAGGAGCGGCCGAUGUCUGAUUAGCUAGUUGGUGGGGUAAAGGCCUACCAAGGCGACGAUCUGUAGCUGGUCUGAGAGGACGACCAGCCACACUGGGACUGAGACACGGCCCAGACUCCUACGGGAGGCAGCAGUGGGGAAUUUUGGACAAUGGGGGCAACCCUGAUCCAGCAAUGCCGCGUGUGUGAAGAAGGCCUUCGGGUUGUAAAGCACUUUUGUCCGGAAAGAAAACGCC